rnacentral:rRNA from 1 species
UACGAAGGGUGCAAGCGUUAAUCGGAAUUACUGGGCGUAAAGCGUGCGUAGAUGGUGCGUUAAGUCGGAUGUGAAAGCCCCGGGCUCAACCUGGGAACUGCAUCCGAUACUGGCGGACUAGAGUGUGAUAGAGGAUGGCGGAAUUCCCGGUGUAGCGGUGAAAUGCGUAGAGAUCGGGAGGAACAUCCGUGGCGAAGGCGGCCAUCUGGAUCAACACUGACGUUGAGGCACGAAAGCGUGGGGAGCAAACAGGAUUAGAUACCCUGGUAGUCCACGCCCUAAACGAUGUCGACUGGAUGUUGGGUGCAACUUGGCACUCAGUAUCGAAGCUAACGCGUUAAGUCGACCGCCUGGGGAGUACGCGCGCAAGCGUGAA